rnacentral:lncRNA from 1 species
AAACUUUGAAGGAACAGUGCUGCACGGCUAAACUAGGCAAUUACAAAUAUACCAGACACAGGGCUGAGACCCACCUCACUUCUGUUCUGCUGGAGUUCCAGCACACAGAAUCACUCCAGCCUUCCCUCAAGGAGGGACAACACAAUAGGAUCAGCCUCUUCUGCGCUGCUCUGAAAUCACCUUCCAGAAAAUGGACAAAGUAGAUAAUAAAUCACUCUUCUUCUGCCAGGGAAAGGAAAGGAGUAGAAAUGGAAAAACAUCAGUGAGAAAAACCAAACAGAGCCCAAAAUUCGGAGCUGAGGAAGUCUGCAAUGGAGAAUCUAGUUGA